rnacentral:rRNA from 1 species
UGGGUUUGAUUAUGGCUCAGGAUGAACGCUAGCGGCAGGCUUAACACAUGCAAGUCGAGGGGUAACAGGGAGUGCUUGCACUCUGCUGACGACCGGCGCACGGGUGCGUGACGCGUAUGCAACCUACCUUCUACAGGGGGAUAGUCAAUAGAAAUGUUGAAUAAUACCCCAUACGAUCUUCAAGAGGCAUUACUUGAAGAAGAAAGCUCCGGCGGUAGAAGAUGGGCAUGCGUCCUAUUAGUUAGUUGGUGAGGUAACGGCUCACCAAGACCGCGAUAGGUAGGGGCCCUGAGAGGGGGAUCCCCCACACUGGUACUGAGACACGGACCAGACUCCUACGGGAGGCAGCAGUGAGGAAUAUUGGACAAUGGAGGCAACUCUGAUCCAGCCAUGCCGCGUGCAGGAAGACUGCCCUAUGGGUUGUAAACUGCUUUUAUACAGGAAGAAACCUACUUACGAGUAAGUAGCUGACGGUACUGUAAGAAUAAGGAUCGGCUAACUCCGUGCCAGCAGCCGCGGUAAUACGGAGGAUCCAAGCGUUAUCCGGAAUCAUUGGGUUUAAAGGGUCCGUAGGUGGUUUACUAAGUCAGAGGUGAAAUCCUAUCGCUUAACGAUAGAACUGCCUUUGAUACUGAUAGACUUGAGUUAUUGUGAAGUAGUUAGAAUGUGUAGUGUAGCGGUGAAAUGCAUAGAUAUUACACAGAAUACCAAUUGCGAAGGCAGAUUACUAACAAUAUACUGACACUGAGGGACGAAAGCGUGGGUAGCGAACAGGAUUAGAUACCCUGGUAGUCCACGCCGUAAACGAUGGUCACUAGCUGUUUGAAAAACAUUGGUUUUUUGAGUGGCUAAGCGAAAGUGAUAAGUGACCCACCUGGGGAGUACGCUCGCAAGAGUGAAACUCAAAGGAAUUGACGGGGGCCCGCACAAGCGGUGGAGCAUGUGGUUUAAUUCGAUGAUACGCGAGGAACCUUACCAGGGCUUAAAUGUAAGUUGCAUGGACCAGAGAUGGAACUUUCUUCGGACUACUUACAAGGUGCUGCAUGGUUGUCGUCAGCUCGUGCCGUGAGGUGUCAGGUUAAGUCCUAUAACGAGCGCAACCCCUAUCGUUAGUUGCCAUCGGGUCAUGCCGGGAACUCUAACGAGACUGCCGGUGCAAACCGUGAGGAAGGUGGGGAUGACGUCAAAUCAUCACGGCCCUUACGUCCUGGGCCACACACGUGCUACAAUGGCCGGUACAGAGAGCAGCCACUACGCGAGUAGGCGCGAAUCUUCAAAACCGGUCUCAGUUCGGAUCGCAGUCUGCAACUCGACUGCGUGAAGCUGGAAUCGCUAGUAAUCGGGUAUCAGCCAUGAUCCGGUGAAUACGUUCCCGGGCCUUGUACUCACCGCCCGUCAAGCCAUGGAAUCUGGGGGUACCUGAAGUCGGUCACCGCAAGGAGCUGCCUAGGGUAAAACUGGUAACUAGGGCUAAGUCGUAACAAGGUAGCC